ACAAAGACAAACCCUAGGUUUCCGUGCUCAACGUUUGACUGUUCGUCUUAUAUGAAAUUUUUUUAUAAUUAGUAUUUUUAUUGUUGUUAGAUGAUAAAACAUGAUUAAUAUUUUAUGCGUGACUUAUCUUUUUAAUUUAUUUUUAUAAUUUUUUUAAAUAAAACGGACGGUCAAAUGUUGGACAUGGAAACCUAGGGUUUGUCUUUUU
rfam:Oryza rufipogon genomic scaffold, chr01